rnacentral:rRNA from 1 species
AUUGAACGCUGGCGGCAGGCCUAAACACAUGCAAGUCGAGCGGGGUUUUCGGACCUAGCGGCGGACGGGUGAGUAAUGCGUAGGAAGCUACCCGAUAGAGGGGGAUACCAGUUGGAAACGACUGUUAAUACCGCAUAAUGUCUACGGACCAAAGUGUGGGACCUUCGGGCCACAUGCUAUCGGAUGCGCCUACGUGGGAUUAGCUAGUUGGUGGGGUAAAGGCUCACCAAGCCAACGAUCUGUAGCUGGUCUGAGAGGACGACCAGCCACACUGGAACUGAGACACGGUCCAGACUCCUACGGGAGGCAGCAGUGGGGAAUUUUGGACAAUGGACGCAAGUCUGAUCCAGCCAUUCCGCGUGCAGGAUGAAGGCCCUCGGGUUGUAAACUGCUUUUGUACGGAACGAAAAGGUCUCUAUUAAUACUAGGGGCUCAUGACGGUACCGUAAGAAUAAGCACCGGCUAACUACGUG